AGCUCCAAUAGCGUAUAUUAAAGUUGUUGCAGUUAAAAAGCUCGUAGUUGGAUUUGGGACGGGGGUCGCGCGGUCGGCCGCAAGGUCUGCUACUGUGCGGCCUCGUCAUUUACACUCUCGGAGACCCGUCGUGCACUUCGCUGUGCGCGGCGCGGGACUCGGGACGUUUACUUUGAAAAAAUUAGAGUGUUCAAAGCAGGCCUUCGCUUGAAUACAUUAGCAUGGAAUAAUGGAAUAGGACUGCGGUUCUAUUUUGUUGGUUUCUAGGACCGAAGUAAUGAUUAAUAGGGAUAGUUGGGGCCGUUUGUAUUCCGUUGUCAGAGGUGAAAUUCUUGGAUUUACGGAAGACAAACUUCUGCGAAAGCAUUCGGCAAGGAUGUUUUCAUUAAUCAAGAACGAA
rnacentral:rRNA from 1 species